GAGUCCUUUUUGUAUCUGAUUUUUGAGAAAAGUACAAAUGUUGAUUCCACAUAGUUGUUAAUCAUGAUGUCAUCACAGUGGGAAUUCAAAAUUAAUGAUUUUUGAUUUUCUUAGCCAUGGAAUAAUAAUUAAAAUAGGAAACACUAUUUGUGACACCUGAUUCCAUAUCAAAAUUCUUUUAAUUUUCUUAUAUUACCAGUAUAGAUGCAUUUUUUAAAAUCCAAUCACAACCCACAUACUUGAAAAUACAUAUUAAAAGUGCUCUUCAUUAGCUAAUUUUUACCACAUCAAAUAUGAAGACCUCAAGGAUCUAUUUUAGUUAAUUUUGCAUAAGAUGAACAAUUUCAAACAUAAUUUUUAAUCAAAUGAAUAUUUCUUAUCAGCAAAAAUGUAUCGGAUGUAAUGAUUUAGCACGGGUCUUUUAACCAAAAGUCUGUAUAGCUUACCUGAUCACCAUUUUUCUGUAAUCAUAAUGUCUGUUAUACUUGUUGUCUACAUAAUUUGGUAACUUGUGAACUUGAUUGAAAAUUGAAUUAUUGACACCUCUGCAGGUAUCGAGAUCAUUGCGAUCACCACAAAUUGAUAGUUGGUAGUUCAGCUUCAUUGAAUGAAAUAAAUUUACUUAAAUUUCAGUAUACAAGGAAUCUAUUCACUGAAAUUCCAAGAAGAUUCCAUGACUUGCUUGCCAUACAACAAACAACAGAUUAUGGACAUGAUUCCUAGAAUUAGAACUUGAAUGGGUCAGACUUGGAUACAUGCAAAAUCAUGUAACAAUAUUAAAGGUGUUGUACUUCAGGAAAAGGGGAAGCAUAUUUGUUGGAAGAUUGAUAAAGAAAUAUUGGAGCAUGCACUAGACUUCUUUAAAUCCUGCUUUUUUAUCAGGUAACAUCAUUGAGUACAAAAGAAAUGCACCUUCACAGUAGACAACUUAUAACCUUUCGACAAAAAAUUGGGACUGCCUGCCAUUCAACCAUUGUACAUAUAUGAAUUUACCAGUCCUGUUGUGAAGAAACUUAUUUCAUCCUCUUUCAAGGGCCAUGUUAUUUAGGAUUUUAACUACUUGUCCUGCAUCACAAGCUUAAAAAGACUUCACAAUCUGGCUGCAGAUGGAGCUGCAUGGUUUGAAAUCCUCAUAGGAAUUCUGAGAAGCAUGGAGGCCUAUAAACCAGAUAAUGACAAGAUUUCAUAGUUCGAGGAGUACCAGGAAAAUUUACUUGCAGCAAAAUUGUACAUUAAGAGAGACUCACUCAAGCAUGAAUGUAGAAUAAUUAUAAAGAUGCAGAAUAUAUAUAUGGAGAGAGAGAGAGAGAGAGAGAGAGAGAGAGAGAGAGAGAGAGAAUUGUAUGGUGAUAUAAUUAAACUCAUUGUCUUCAAUGGGUAUGGCAUGUCAGUAGAGAAUCAUGAUUCAUAUGGUGAUAUUUUUCAAUUAUAUACUCGUUUCAGUGCAAUGGCAUU